AACUUGUAAACAGUCUGAGCAGCGCGCUUACACAGAGAAAAUAUAUAAAGGAAACAGGAAAAGAAGGGAAGUUAUAAUAAAUAAAGAUGACAGAAAAAUAAAGUAAAACAAAGACAGACAAAGGACUACAGAUAGAGGGCGCUAAUCAUCUAAAAUAAUAGAUGGAAUGCGCCCUAUAGAUUAACCAGAAGAAGAAGCAGCAGCUUACAGAGAGAAACAGCUUUAAUGAGAAACGGAUCGUUUUGUGACAAAGGGAGAAAAACGAACAACACAAACCGAAGAGAGGACAGCAGCGGAGGAUCCAGCAAAACACAGAAGCAGAAAAUAUGAGGACGCAUUGCUAUGUUCACUAAUGUUUCAAUAAUGAAAUCUAUUUGUUAUUAAUGAACAGCUAGCUUGUGCUUGUCCUUUAUUGACAUGCUUUCUUAAGUUAUUUUUCGAAACUUCCUGUAUCCUGGAAAACUACCUCAUAACUUACUAUCAAAUCUAGUAGUGACACCUCGUGGUCAUGAUAUGUAACUGCACAUCAUUACAAGCAUAUUUAAAACUGGGCUUUACAUGGAGCGGGUCCAGCGAUGCACCGAGGAAUCAAAUGUGCGGCGAAAUACUGGCAAACCACAGCAUGCAGCCCUACAAGCUACACCAGCAUCUCGAAACACGACAACCCUGCCUUAGCAUCUAAACCCGUCAUGAUUUUACACAGGAAGUGCUAUGAGUUUAUUUCUUUAUUAAUCGCAUUUAUAUGGCGCUUUUUAUACAAAAGUAUCGUAAAGCACUGUACAGAACAUAGCAGAAAAAAUACAAACCACAAUACAUUUGUAUAGCAUGUCACACAUACAACUGCCACAAGCAGACCAUUUAAAUAACAGAUUUAAACAACAGUAUACACCUAAUAAUACAGAAGCAGCAAUUGUGAAGUUACAUUAAAACCAACUAAGAUAAGAAAGUUAACAGGACAAAAAAAAAAAAAAAUAAGAUUUUAGCUGCUUCCAUUUGUUCUGUUUAUGAAUGAAUACUUCUGAAACUCAUACUGCUCUAUAUUGAUCAAAUCCCUUCUACUCUUUUAUUCAUUGUUUUGCAACAUACAGGAUUUUCAGUUUGUUAUUUUGUUUUAGUAAACUGGGGAGGCGCAGAUAUUUUUUUCAUAGCUCAGGGAGGCUCACUAUGGCAAAGUUUGAGAAGCACUGCUCUGAAGACUUCUCAAAAGCAAAGGGGUUCCCUGUUGAUGAGACAAAGAUGCUGUUUCACACAAAGGUUGAAGAAUGAACUGCACGCUAUCUACGAGGAUGCAGCUUUCCAUAAACCACAGGAGCGCUAUUGCAAUUCAUCACGGAGAACGACCUUUCACAAACCGCACCACAAGUGUGGAAGCUGCUGAAGUUCAUGCCAACCAUUCCAGUGACUAGCGUGGCAGCAGAACCUUCAUUUUCAUGCUUGAAGAGAAUGAAAACCUACCUGCGGAAUACAAUGGGGCAAAACACACUGUCUGCAUUGGCCUGUAUGUCAAUGGAAUCAACCUGACUUCCGGAGCUCAAGAGCAAAGGCUGUUUCCAUGGCAGCGUGAUUGACAGUUUAGCGAGGAUGAAAGAUGGACGAAUGGGAUUGUUAUGAAACUUGCCCUUCACCAGACCAUGUUGAUGUCUCAGGCUCAGCUGGGGGGAGAGCAGUGCUGCCCUGUUCUUACACCCCCACCCCUGGGCAGGAUGUAGCAGUCAGAUGGUAUGCAUAUCCAGAUCAGGGAGGACCUGUUCUAUUAAUCGAGUCAAAGAGACGAUCCUCAGCACCCAUCCCUGCGCAGUGGAGCGGCCGAGUGAAGCUGUCUGAUGAAGUCUCCUCUGGAAACGGCUCUCUGCUAAUCUCUGAGCUCAGACUGGAGGACACUGGGGAUUACACGUGUGACAUGUGGAUCAAUGGGAUAUGUGUCACUCACAGGAAUGUUAAACUGACUGUUCAAGGACCUCCAAAGAGAGAUUCAACUACUGCAACAACCCAGAAAACCAGCCCAUGCCCAACCCAGCACGGGAAUGCAGCAGCACAGAGGAGAUCGUACUGCAUGAAACCGCUUUGAUAACUGGAUUCUAAUUGGAUUGCAUGUUCCUGUAUUUAGUGAGUGUUGUGAGUUAAGCGGAAGUUCAAUUAUUCCUGUGUGUUGCUGCUGCUGGUUCCCUAUGCCAGUAUAGUCCAUUGUGAAAGAGUAUUGCUGUUACUGUAACCCGCUGCAUCCUGCCUGUGCCUGCAUCUCUUCAUUUCUAUAUCAUUUUAAUAAGAGCGCUUUAGCAUUUUGAUAUAUUUCAGGUUCUAUUCAUCACUGAUAGCUAUUAGUUUAUUUUUUGUAUAAUUUAGUUGGUGCUGUUUACUAUAGAUAAUUGUUAAUAACAGUUUUAUAUUAGUGAUGUGAAGACAGUUUAGAAUUUGUUAGUGAUUCCUUAAUUUUUAUAUUACAUUACUGAUUGAAAAGUACAUUUGUUAAUUAUUUGCUUAGUAUAACUUAGUUAUUCCUGAUUACUAUUAAAUGUUAAUUGCACAGUACCAUAUCUUAUUGCUUUUCCUUUUUUGCUUAUGAAAAAUAAAAUAUUUAGCUGUG